GAAUCUUCGGUGGUCCCAUAGGCGACAUUGCAUUGCGCUGCAGCACGCUCAUGUUGGCUCGAUUAAGCGAAUUACCCAGCAUAGGUAAGCCAGAAGAAUUAGGCAACAUCUGGUUGGUAUUUCCCGGCAUACCAGCCAUCCCAGACUGCGGACUGUACAUCCCCGAUCUGUUCUGAUUCACUGCCAUCCUCAGCUUCGAUGCUAUCGCAGCUGCAUGAGCGACUGACAUCGAUC
rnacentral:misc_RNA from 1 species